AUGAGAUCCAUGGGCAGCUCGGACUCAUCUUCAGGCUCGGCACCACCGCGGCAUCAGCCGCCGCCUCCGCAGCAGGGCUCGGCCCCGGAGCUCCCGCCGGGCUUCCGGUUCCACCCGACGGACGAGGAGCUGGUCGUGCACUACCUCAAGAAGAAGGCCGCCAAGGUGCCGCUCCCCGUCACCAUCAUCACCGAGGUGGAUCUCUACAAGUUCGACCCAUGGGAGCUGCCCGAGAAGGCGACCUUCGGUGAGCAGGAGUGGUACUUCUUCAGCCCGCGCGACCGCAAGUACCCCAACGGCGCGCGGCCCAACAGGGCGGCUACGUCGGGGUACUGGAAGGCCACCGGCACGGACAAACCUAUCCUGGCCUCCGGGUGCGGCCGGGAGAAGGUCGGCGUCAAGAAGGCGCUCGUGUUCUACCGCGGGAAGCCGCCCAAGGGCCUCAAAACCAACUGGAUCAUGCACGAGUACCGCCUCACCGACGCGUCUAGCUCCGCCACCACCAGCCGACCGCCGCCUGUCACCGGCGGGAGCAGGUCUGCCUCUCUCAGGUGUACGUCGUCGUCUCAUCAGUUGGACGACUGGGUGCUGUGCCGCAUAUACAAGAAGAUCAACAAGGCCGCCGCCGGGGAUCAGCAGAGGAGCAUGGAGUGCGAGGACUCCGUGGAGGACGCCGUCACCGCAUACCCGCUUUAUGCCACGGCGGGCAUGACCGGUGCAGGGGCGCAUGGCAGCAACUACGAUUCACUGCUCCAUCACCAGGACAGCCACGAGGACAACUUCCUGGACGGCCUGCUCACAGCAGAGGACGCCGGCCUCUCGGCGGGCCCCACCUCGCUGAGCCACCUAGCCGCGGCGGCGAGGGCGAGCCCGGCUCCGACCAAACAGUUUCUGGCCCCGUCGUCUUCAACCCCGUUCAACUGGCUCGAUGCGUCAACCGUUGGCAUCCUCCCACAGGCAAGGAAUUUCCCUGGGUUUAACAGGAGCAGAAAUGUCGGCAACAUGUCGCUGUCGUCGACGGCCGACAUGGCGGUGGACAACGGCGGGGGCAAUGCGAUAAACACCAUGCCUCCAUUCAUGAAUCAUCUUCCCAUGCAAGACGGGACCUACCAUCAACAGCAUGUCAUCCUCGGCGCCCCGCUCGCGCCAGAAGCCACUGCCGCCGCCACCUCUGCCUUCCAGCACCCCGUCCAAAUAUCCGGCGUGAACUGGAAUCCCUGA
rnacentral:rRNA from 1 species